GCCCUCCCUGGACGUAACCGUCGGCCCCGAAGGGACCCUCUCGGGUGACACCGAAAGGCCCCCAGCCAAUGCGCUAGCCGCCACCCCCUGCUGCACCACGUGCCGGAGUCCUAGUAAAAGCUUGGGCGCCGAGGUCCCAGCCCCGGGUUCUGCCACGCGCUACGCGACGCGGGCAGCUGGAGCCGCUGCGGAGAGGGGCGAGGGGUGCCGGGCAAAGCAGGUCCGCGGGGACAGUGUCUUGCGGAGAGUUAGCCCCGGGCAAGCACGCCCCACCCGGAGGAACGGUCGUGGACCAGUGAGCUUGAACUCAAAGGGCUCUCUUUCCCUCAGCUGCCAUGUGAGUGCAGGCAACGGUGAGCAACCACAGGUACAACAAAGAAAGGAGUGCUGGUAUUUAUGCCCCCAGGCUCCCUAGCCGAGGCACCACUGCAGGCUGGCUGCAUCCCUCAACCAAAGGUCACAGUUCUGCUUCAGGAUAACCCAGGGUACAUUCCGUGUGGUCUCUCUACAUUUAUCCCACACCCUUGCAAACAGUCUUUUUAUUAAACUCUACUCAAAUUAUCCAUUAGGAAUUUAUCAUCCCAUUCCUGCUAGGACCUUAACAGAGUCAGUCCUUCACAGAAUUGUUUUGGCUGAAAGUUAAUUGAAAAGUCAUAGGUAUGCUAUUAUUGUUGUCUAAAUUUAAAAACCUUUGAGAUU